GCUGGGCGUGGUGGUGCAUGCCUGUAAUCCCAGCUACUCAGGAGGCUGAGGCAGGAGAAUCGCUUGAACCCGGGAAGCGGAGGUUGCAGUGAGCCAAGAUCAUGCCACUGCACUCCAGCCUGGGCAACAAAGCGAGACUCUGUUUUAA
rnacentral:SRP_RNA from 2 species